ACCCGGUGACUCAUGAAGAUGGAGAUAGGGAUAAAGYGGACUGCCGCUCUGUCCCGGAGUGGCUGAGCAAAUCAGACUGCUGGGAAUUAGGAUGAGAAGAAGACUUCUGCAAURAUUUACUCUGGAUGCUUCCAUUGGAAUGAAUUACCAAGUGGACCGCUUUGGAACAUUCGGCAGGAGCUCUCCCUUUGACCAGCAGCAGGUCCGUGCUCUGAUCCCGUACGUUUACCUGCAAUUCUCCAUGGACAUGAGGGCAUUCUGGGGGGUUUUGGAGUGUGAGCAGACAGUCUGUCUCUACACAGGUUGACAUCCGUGAUUUACGGCCCUGAUUUGUGAUCUUGCUCUUGAGUUACACUCUGGCCGUUCCCGACACUUAGGGAUACAUUCCUUCCUGCUGAGCAUUCCUCAGAUGGCCRACAUAAAACACGUCAGCCGCUGCAAACUCGUUUCAACGGUGUGCUGUUUGCAACGUGGGAGUGACCCUUAGGUUAGCACUCYUGGUGUUUUGCAUGAGCAAGGGCUAGAGUAGAGUGAAUA